UGAGUAACACGUAUCCAACCUGCCGUCUACUCUUGGACAGCCUUCUGAAAGGAAGAUUAAUACAAGAUGGCAUCAUGAGUCCGCAUGUUCACAUGAUUAAAGGUAUUCCGGUAGACGAUGGGGAUGCGUUCCAUUAGAUAGUAGGCGGGGUAACGGCCCACCUAGUCUUCGAUGGAUAGGGGUUCUGAGAGGAAGGUCCCCCACAUUGGAACUGAGGCACGGUCCAA
rnacentral:rRNA from 1 species